UCCUUUUCUGUAGACUAGUCUGAAUUUCUCUGAGGAUGACUCCCUGUUCGAAGAAGAGGAGGAAGAUGAGAAACGUCCGCAGCUGAAGAGCCCGCUGGCCGUCACAGCUCCCUCCGCGGCUCCCCCUGUCUGCACGGAGUAUCCAGCAGACUGGAGCCUGAAGACUCGCCUCCUCUUCACCUCCCCACAUCCCCUGAACUGGGCAGAGCAGCCCAAAGCCCAGGAGGAGGCUCUGGGCCUCAGUCAGCACUGCAAAGCUCACUUCAACAGUCUGCCUCACAGCCUACAGGAUCCCAAGUCCUGCUCCGAGCUGCGAUGUGCCUUCCAGCAGAGUCUGGUGUACUGGCAGCACCCCUCCCUUCCCUGGAUACCUCUGUUCCCCAGGAUCAACGCUGAGAGGAGCUUUAACGGGAAGAGCACCCCGUGGGCCCAGGAUAGAUCCCUGCAGCAGAGUCU